rnacentral:misc_RNA from 1 species
GAUGAAGAACGCAGCGAAAUGCGAUAAGUAAUGUGAAUUGCAGAAUUCAGUGAAUCAUCGAAUCUUUGAACGCACAUUGCGCCCGCUGGUAUUCCGGCGGGCAUGCCUGUUCGAGCGUCAUUUCAACCCUCAAGCCCCCGGGUUUGGUGUUGGGGAUCGGCUCUGCCCUUCUGGGCGGUGCCGCCCCCGAAAUACAUUGGCGGUCUCGCUGCAGCCUCCAUUGCGUAGUAGCUAACACCUCGCAACUGGAACGCGGCGCGGCCAUGCCGUAAAACCCCAACUUCUGAAUGUUGACCUCGGAUCAGGUAGGAAUACCCGCUGAACUUAAGCAUAUCAAAUAAGCGGAGGA